UACAGAGGUCCCAAGCGUUGUUCGGAUUCACUGGGCGUAAAGGGUGCGUAGGUGGUCGGGUAAGUCUGAUGUGAAAUCUCCGAGCUCAACUCGGAAAUGGCAUUGGAUACUAUUCGGCUGGAGGGUUGGAGGGGGACUGGAAUACUUGGUGUAGCAGUGAAAUGCGUAGAUAUCAAGUGGAACACCAGUGGCGAAGGCGAGUCCCUGGACAACUCCUGACACUGAGGCACGAAAGCUAGGGGAGCAAACAGG
rnacentral:rRNA from 1 species